rnacentral:rRNA from 1 species
UGCAGUCGAACGGGCUAGCAAUAGUCAGUGGCGCACGGGUGCGUAACACGUGGGUAAUCAACCCUUCAGCUCGGGAUAACGCCUUGAAAGGGGCGCUAAUACCGGAUACGACGCGAGGAGCUUCGGCGCUUCGCGGGAAAGAUUCGCAAGGAUCUCUGGAGGACGAGCCUGCGGCCCAUCAGCUAGUUGGUGAGGUAAGAGCUCACCAAGGCGAAGACGGGUAGCUGGUCUGAGAGGAUGAUCAGCCACACUGGAACUGAGACACGGUCCAGACUCCUACGGGAGGCGGCAGUGGGGAAUAUUGCGCAAUGGGCGAAAGCCUGACGCAGCCACGCCGCGUGAGCGAUGAAGGCCUUCGGGUCGUAAAGCUCUGUGGGGAGAGAAGAAUAAAGCCUGUGAAGAGCGGGCCUUGACGGUAUCUCCUUAGCAAGCACCGGCUAACUCCGUGCCAGCAGCCGCGGUAAUACGGAGGGUGCAAACGUUGCUCGGAAUCAUUGGGCGUAAAGCGCACGUAGGCGGCGAAGCAAGUCGGGUGUGAAAGCCCUGGGCUCAACCCAGGAAGUGCAUUCGAAACUAUUUCGCUUGAAUCUCGGAGGGGGUCAGAGAAUUCCCGGUGUAGAGGUGAAAUUCGUAGAUAUCGGGAGGAAUACCAGUGGCGAAGGCGCUGACCUGGACGAAGAUUGACGCUGAGGUGCGAAAGCGCGGGGAGCAAACAGGAUUAGAUACCCUGGUAGUCCGCGCUGUAAACGAUGAGUGCUAGACGGUGGAGGUAUUGACCCCUUCGCUGCCGAAGCUAACGCGUUAAGCACUCCGCCUGGGGAGUACGGUCGCAAGACUAAAACUCAAAGGAAUUGACGGGGGC